GUAGGCUCUGGGUACGAGAAUGCAUCCUUUGUGUGAUUAUAAAUUUCAAUUUCUGCGUGAAUUAAGCAAAACAGCAAGCAACAUCGUUAACGUCGGUUUGCAAAUUUUGUGGCUGUGUUCAGAGGUUAAGAUCACUAUAGAGGUACGUAUGUCCAGAAUUUAUGACUAUGUAGUUUAGAUGAUUACAAUUUAAUAAUUCCUGUUAACGCGGGUUUAUAACAGAGAUAAUUUAAGCAUAAAACCUAAGAACGACGGGCCGGCUAUCAAAAUAAUGGGACUCAUCAUACAAAUCUCAUCUUGUUCUCCGAUCCAUGCACGUUCGCGUUAUCGAUUUCCCAUUUUCAUAUUUGGCAGAAAUGGAUCCCAGAAUUGAAAUCUUCGUCUACAUCAAAAAAUUUCGCGUUGUUUGAACAUUCAGAGCGCGAGUUACGGCGUUUUGAGAAUUUCGUUUCCCCUAUACAUGCAUUUGCUUGGAAUUUCCGCUGCAUAGAAAACAUUUAUAUAUUCAAAAAUUUUCAUAGCUUUUCUUAUGAACUUUUCUCUUUCUCUUCAAUUGUUUUGUAAAAGUAUAUAUAAAACACAACGAUCUAGGAUUGAAAAUUGAAGACUGAUAGUGAAAGUGAAAUUGCGCAGUGCAAAAAUAAUGAUACGUCGUCAAAAUUUUACUUAAAGAGGUUCAGAUUUGACUUCCGCUACUUCCCACUGCAGGUUUAAUUCGCAUUUGAUUUGUAAUUCGGGUAGAUUAAACGCAUCUGAUUGGUUAAUAGUAGCAGUAGUAAGUUGUAUAUAGUUCUUUAUUUAUGAUAAAUGUAUUAGAUACAAAACGUGAUUGUAUUUGGAAUUAUGGUCAGCAAAAUGGUUGACAGUAAUUUUAAUAUAAAAAACUAGUUGCCUCGGAAUAUUUGGUUAAAUGUAUAGUAUCCUCAAAUAUCAAAGUUUUUUAUUCGUGUGCAGAAACAACUAUGGACACGUUAUUAUCGUUCUCUUUGCCUCCUCAAAUUUUACAGGUCAAAUAAUUUAAUUUGUGUAUAAUUUGUGUAUUAACAUCUUUUAUCUACUUUUAUAAGGCAUAUAUCUGAAAGACACGAAAGCUAAGAGUGAGGGAUUUCACCAGAAGAUCUAAAAAUGGUAGGGAGAGCCUUAAUUGUUAUCCACUCUGUAAAUUAAAACAAAUUGGCUAAAUCAACCCAUAAAUUGAUUUAUUUUGAAUUUGAAACAACCAAUUUAUUAGUUAAUUGGCUUUAUAGCGUCAUUUGGACUUUACAUAUACUAUACAGGUUGACGUUUCACAUGAAUUUUGGUUUCAAUUUUCCCCCACAAUUUUUUCAGAGUGGACGUGAGAUACAAAGAUAUGGACAAGGAAGCAUCAAUCAGUAUGAUGAUGAUGAGGAAACAUGGGAGAGAGAAGUCACGAAAAUUUAUGUAAAUGAAGGCCCCGAAGGGAAUAAAGAAAUAACUUAUGUAAAAGUGAGAGAAAGCAGAAGUCGAAGAGGAAAUCGAGGAAGAAGUCAAGGUGGAUUGCAAGUAGAAGCAAAGCAAGAAGAAUGUAUUUUGUCAUAAUGUUACAGGUGUAAAUAGCCUGAGGACGGGUAGUAAACUAUCCAAAACGUAGCUAAAGUAAAAAAAAAAAAAAAAGAAAGAACAAACAGACUCAAUAAGUUCUAAAUUAUUUGUUUAAUUUUUAUGUUUUGUUGCCUUAUGUAUUGCCUUUGUUCUUGUCAUAACUGUUGUUGUAUUUUGACGUGUAGUUUUUAAAAACGUUGUUUUGCUUACUUAUUUUAAUUAAACAUGCAAGAAACUGUCUUCCUUAACAGGCUUAAGCAAGAAUUAUUUACCGCUUGUGGAAUUGGUUUAGUGUAGCUUUCCACAAUUCUAUUAAGAAAGCUAAUAAACGUGAAUAAUUAGAAUUACCAGGCUGAGAAAGAAUGAAAUGAGCUCUACCCGGUAAGAGCCGGGAGCUUCCAGGGGGCACCCUGAACUGAGUUGUCCGGGGACUUUGUUCAUCUAAGGUUGUACGUGCAUAAGUACAGUGGCAAACAUUUCACUGUUUAUGUCAAACACAAUUUCUGUAUGGUGUUAUUUCUGCAUAGUUGUGGUUUUUUGUUGUAUAUUUUACUAUAAUCUAUAUAUUUAUGUUUCCAGUUCAAGAUACCAUUAAAAUUCGCUUCUAAACGACCAGCAAAAUGUUCAUAUUGUAAGAACUUCAUGGUACUUCAAAUGGAUCUAGGAUACCCCUGCCUUGGGGCACCCAAUUCCGGUAGGACCAGGGGCAGGCUGGUCCAAACUUACGCCCCUGUUUUGGGUUUAUAGGCACUUUAAUAUACAGUAGACUAUGUUUUACUCUCGAAAUAUAGUUGUGUAGAGGAUGAUCAGGG